GAUGAACGCUGGCGGCGUGCCUAAUACAUGCGAGUCGAGCGAACGGACGAGAAGCUUGCUUUUCUGAUGUUAGCGGCGGACGGGUGAGUAACACGUGGAUAACCUACCUAUAAGACUGGGAUAACUUCGGGAAACCGGAGCUAAUACCGGAUAAUAUUUUGAACCGCAUGGUUCAAAAGUGAAAGACGGUCUUGCUGUCACUUAUAGAUGGAUCCGCGCUGCAUUAGCUAGUUGGUAAGGUAACGGCUUACCAAGGCAACGAUGCAUAGCCGACCUGAGAGGGUGAUCGGCCACACUGGAACUGAGACACGGUCCAGACUCCUACGGGAGGCAGCAGUAGGGAAUCUUCCGCAAUGGGCGAAAGCCUGACGGAGCAACGCCGCGUGAGUGGUGAAGGUCUUCGGAUCGUAAAACUCUGUUAUUAGGGAAGAACAUAUGUGUAAGUAACUGUGCACAUCUUGACGGUACCUAAUCAGAAAGCCACGGCUAACUACGUG
rnacentral:rRNA from 1 species